GUAAAGCGGCGAACUGGUGAGUAACAGGUGGGUAAUGUGCCUUUCAGUGGGGGAUAACACUUGGAAACAGGUGCUAAUACCGCAUAUUGCUCGAGAAGCGUUGGCUUUUCGGGCCAAAGGGAUCCAUAAGCAAUUGUGGGUUUCGCUGGAAGAUCAGCCCGCCCCUGAUUAGCCUGUUGGUGAGGUAACGGCUCACCAAAGCUAUGAUCAGUAGCUGGUCUGAGAGGAUGGUCAGCCACACUGGGACUGAGAUACGGCCCAGACUCCUACGGGGGGCAGCAGUCUAGAAGCUUCGGCAAUGGGGGAAACCCUGACCGAGCGACGCCGCGUGCGGGAUGAAGGUCGUGAGAUUGUAAACCGCUGUCAGCAGGAAAGAAUGCCCGAAUGGCGAAUUCGGGAGAGACGGUACCUGCAGAGGAAGCCCCGGCUAACUCCGUGCCAGCAGCCGCGGUAAUACGGAGGGGGCAAACGUUGUUCGGAAUUACUGGGCGUAAAGGGUGCGUAGGCGGUUCGAUAAGUCUAGUGUGAAAUCUCUCAGCUUACCUGAGAAACUGCGCUGGAAA
rnacentral:rRNA from 1 species